CUUCCUUAUCCUCUGCCCCCAGGCUGGUAACCAAAGUUCCCUUGAAGAAUCCACCUUCCUGCAGGGUUGGGGGAGCGCAGAAUGGGAGGAAGAUACAAAUACCAAUUUUAUAGCAAGAAUGCAAAAAGAGGCCAGCGCGGUGGCUCGAGCCUGGAAUCCCAGCACUUUGGAAGGCGAGCUGGGCGGAUCACUUGAGGUCAGGAGUUCGAGACCAGCCUGACCAACAUGGAGAAACCUCAUCUCUAUGAAAAAUACAAAAAAAAUUAGCCAGGCAUGGUGGCAUGCACCUAUAAUCCUAGCUGAGGCAGGAGAAUUGCUUGAACCUGG
rnacentral:lncRNA from 1 species